rnacentral:rRNA from 1 species
AUUGAACGCUAGCGGGAUGCCUUACACAUGCAAGUCGAACGGCAGCGCGGACUUCGGUCUGGCGGCGAGUGGCGAACGGGUGAGUAAUGUAUCGGAACGUGCCCAGUAGCGGGGGAUAACUACUCGAAAGAGUAGCUAAUACCGCAUACGCCCUCCGGGGGAAAGGGGGGGAGCGCAAGACCUCUCACUAUUGGAGCGGCCGAUAUCGGAUUAGCCAGUUGGUGGGGUAAAGGCUCACCAAGGCGACGAUCCGAAGCUGGUUUGAGAGGACGACCAGCCACACUGGGACUGAGACACGGCCCAGACUCCUACGGGAGGCAGCAGUGGGGAAUUUUGGACAAUGGGGGCAACCCUGAUCCAGCCAUUCCGCGUGUGCGAUGAAGGCCUUCGGGUUGUAAAGCACUUUUGGCAGGAAAGAAAUCGCACGGACUAAUACUCUGUGUGGAUGACGGUACCUGCAGAAUAAGCACCGGCUAACUACGUGCCAGCAGCCGCCGUAA